rnacentral:rRNA from 1 species
CCUACGGGAGGCAGCAGUGAGGAAUAUUGGUCAAUGGCCGGGAGGCUGAACCAGCCAAGUCGCGUGAGGGAAGACGGCCCUACGGGUUGUAAACCUCUUUUGUCAGGGAGCAAGGUGCAGGUCGGGACCUGCUGUGAGAGUACCUGAAGAAAAAGCAUCGGCUAACUCCGUGCCAGCAGCCGCGGUAAUACGGAGGAUGCGAGCGUUAUCCGGAUUUAUUGGGGUUAAAGGGUGGGGUGGCGGGUUUAUAAGUUAGAGGUGAAAAUUCGGGGCUCAACUCCGGAAGUGCCGUUAAUACUGGAUGACUAGAGAAUAGAUGCGGUAGGCGGAAUGUGUGGUGUAGCGGUGAAAUGCGUAGAGAUCAUACAGAACACCGAUUGCGAAGGCAGCUUACCAAACUAUAUCUGACGUUGAGGCACGAAAGCGUGGGGAGCAAACAGGAUUAGAUACCCGAGUAGUC